UUCCUAAAAUCAUCUCAAACAGAAAGAGAAGAAAAAUUAAAACAUUUAAUGUUCAUUGUUCUGUUCUUACUGUCCCGGUUAAUGAAAGUGAAAUGAGAUCAAAAUAAUUAUUUAAACAUAGAAGGGAUGCAGAUUAUAUAUGAUAUGCUCUGGUCAAACAAGGGUUAAGUUUCUCAGAGGGUUGAUGAGCUCUGAUGAGAGCCUAUUGUUUUACUCCACUCCUCACAUGUCAGCCAAUCGGUGAAGCUCUAGGCAGCUCUUGUCCCUCCUUAGUACCAGCUCCCAAGUUUUCAGUCUCUUGCUUCUACAGCCGAACAGAGCAGACGGACUAAAACUUUUGUUAUCGAGCGAAACCGGAGGGUUUACUGAGCUGUGGCUCCAUGUAAAUGCUGAGCAUCCACUCGACGGCGGUCAGGUUUUUAUAUGGGACGAAUCCAAAGACCAGGUCAGCGAUUCCAGAACCCAGAGUGUUCCAGUGUUCACUGGAUGGCGAGCCAACCCAAGAUCCUAGGAGACGAUAUACAUGUACACGCACACUCAUUUGCACAUUGAUGGACUACAAUCCUCUACUGUACAAGUAGUACGGUAGGACAGACAAUCACACACACACUCCUUGUCAGACGAAUUCUAUGGGCCCCACCGGUACCAUUUGGACUUAAAAAAGACUAAUUCUUUUACUUGUGCACAAUUUUAUUUAAUUCUAAUUUUUUUUGCUACUUUGGGGGAAAUUUUUAUACUUGACAUUCUGUUAAAACCUGUUGUAAUACUGUGUUGUUUACAAAUUUCUUUUACAAGGCUUAACAUCACUAAAGUACUUUUAAAGCCACAUAACUGUGUUUGUCUGGUUUCUCUGCCAUUCGUGUACCAGAGCUCUAAGAGUCGUUCUCAGUCUUCUGACACUAGCCCAAAUUGCUUAUUACUUUGGUAAUUAU